rnacentral:miRNA from 1 species
CGGAAAACUCGCACCGUGAUAU